rnacentral:rRNA from 1 species
UACGUAGGGGGCAAGCGUUGUCCGGAAUCAUUGGGCGUAAAGAGCGUGUAGGCGGCUCGGUAAGUCCGCUCUGAAAGCCCGGGGCUCAACCCCGGGAGGCGGGCGGAUACUGUCGAGCUAGAGUCCGGAAGAGGCGAGUGGAAUUCCUGGUGUAGCGGUGAAAUGCGCAGAUAUCAGGAGGAACACCAAUGGCGAAGGCAGCUCGCUGGGACGGUACUGACGCUGAGACGCGAAAGCGUGGGAAGCAAACAGG